UCAUGACCUCAGUUUCCUCCAGGACAAAAGGAAAUGGGUGACUAGCACAGGUUACAACUGUUCCGUUUCCUCUACAGUCCACAGGUUUACACAUUAUAUUACUUUUUUCUUUUUUUUUUAGAUCCUCUCCACGUGAGCCCCUCUCUCACUUGGUCUAAAGUGCAGAGUCAGUGUCCUGGAAUUACAGGACAGAGCAGGCGAGGGGAGGGUCACUGAGGAACUGAGACUUUGCUGACUCCAGAUUUACUUACUAAUAGUUCACAGAGAGCAUGAGGCCCACUCAGUAAAAGGAAGACAUGCUAUGCUAAAUGGAGAGGCUAGGCUACAAAAACUAAGGGGCAGGGGUGAAUUUUACUUUGAGUUGGAUAGGAUUAUAAGUUUGUUUAAUGGGAAAGGUUACAUUGCACAAAUGAUUGGUUAUACAGACAGUUGCAUCUGUAUUUAAAGGCUAAACUAAAAUGCAGGUGUUGAAAUUAAUGAUAUGGUAAUGAUACAAAUACAUAUUAUCUGUGGAUCCCAGCCAAACACAAAUGGUUAAAAUAAUAUGUGAACACCAUACACAUCUAGCUCUAUAUAACACAUUCCUCUAUGACCUCAAUGUGGCAAUGAUGUCCAAUACAAUGUAACAGCAUCGGGGACUGCAGCCAACAAAUGACGUGAAAAAGGGCAAUGACCAUCUGCAUAAAGUGUUCUUGUGUUAAACGUUAGUCCUAAAGAAAGUCUUCUAACAAAUAUAACUCUUAACUUAACAUUCUUCGGGAAGAAGAAAUCCCAAGGGAUAAGGGUACUAAGCACAAAAAAUAAUGUACAUUUUUUUCAAUUUUAUAGGACCACAUUCUACUUUGAUUGUUAACACCAUGUUGGCAGUGGGUUUACCUGUUCAGGAAAGCGUUGCCAAAAGCAUUAAGUUUGCGGAAGGGCUUCUUUGGGUCGACUACCAAAGCGUUCCCCGGUAUCACCCCGUCCUGCUCCCCGUGCAUAACGGCAAUGAAAGAGUCUGUAGUCGGCUCCGGGCCAAUCCGCAUACCGGGAAAGUCCUGCUCCAUCAAGUGGCGGAUAAAUGUUGUCUUCCCGGUCGAGUACUGUCCCACCAGAAGCACCAUA